AAUCCAUAGGUUAAUGAGGCGAACCGGGGGAACUGAAACAUCUAAGUACCCCGAGGAAAAGAAAUCAACCGAGAUUCCCCCAGUAGCGGCGAGCGAACGGGGAGGAGCCCAGAGCCUGAAUCAGCAUGUGUGUUAGUGGAAGCGUCUGGAAAGGCGCGCGAUACAGGGUGACAGCCCCGUACACAAAAGCGCAUGUGCUGUGAGCUCGAUGAGUAGGGCGGGACACGUGGUAUCCUGUCUGAAUAUGGGGGGACCAUCCUCCAAGGCUAAAUACUCCUGACUGACCGAUAGUGAACCAGUACCGUGAGGGAAAGGCGAAAAGAACCCCGGCGAGGGGAGUGAAAAAGAACCUGAAACCGUGUACGUACAAGCAGUGGGAGCCCCACCACCAAAGCAUUUGCUGUACCGCGUUGACGGAGCGAAG
rnacentral:rRNA from 3 species